AUGGAAAGAGGACCAUGGCCGAGAGCAAUGGCGGCCCGGUGGCUCUUGUUGCUCCUUCUCGGUCCUGCUCUUCAAGUCCAUGCCCAGCUCGAUAGCUCAGAUUUCAUAAGCAUUGACUGCGGCCUGCCGGAGACGUCCACAGGCUUCACGGACAACGUCACCAAACUCUCGUACGUCCCGGACACUGGCUUCACCGACGCGGGCACCAACCACAACAUAUCGGCUGAGUAUGUCACGGCGUCUCUACCAAUGAACUGGCACACACUAAGGAGCUUCUCCGGCGACCGCGAUGCGCGCAGCUGCUACACGGUAGGGGACCUCGUGUCCGACCUCAAGUAUCUCAUUCGAGCCAUGUUCAUGUACGGCAACUACGACAACCUCAACCGGUUGCCCAUCUUCGACCUAUAUUUGGGCGUCAACUACUGGCAGACCGUGAACAUCUCAGCCACGGACGAGAUGAUGAUUUACGAGAUCAUCUCCAUCAUCUCCGACGGCCACGUGCAGGUCUGCCUCGUGGACACCGGCUCCGGGACGCCUUUCAUCUCCAGCCUGGACCUUAGGCCGCUCAAGAACAAUCUCUACCCGCAGUCUGACGAGUCGCAGGGGCUGGUUCUUUCAGACAGGAGAAACUUCGGCGCAAGCGAUAGCGUAAUUGUCAGGUACCCCGAUGAUCCAUACGAUCGUAUAUGGAUGCCACUAUUGAGCAAGACGGCGGAGUGGUCAGUAAUCUCAACGGACAAUAUUGUCGAGAAUCGAAGUAACUCCUUCGAGGCUCCAUCAGCCGUGAUGCAGACUGCAGUCAUGCCCACCGACCCCUCCAGCGCCUUCGGCUUCAUCUGGAAUGCCCAGCCUAGCGCCAAGAACCACAUGCCCGGGUACGUCUGCAUGGUGUACUUGGCAGAGCUGCAGCACCUCCCCCGCAACACCGUCCGACAGUUCAACAUAUACCUUAAUGGCGAGCUAGGGUAUUCCGGCGGCUACACCCCCUCGUACCUCUUCACCGACGUCAUCUACAGUGACAAGCCCUUCUACUCCUCUCACCCGUACAACAUCUCAAUGAACGCCACGAAGACUUCGACGCUUCCGCCGAUCAUGAACGCUGCCGAGAUCUUCUCCGUUGUGUCCACCACCGGCACAGCCACGAUCGCUCAGGAAGUUGCUGCCAUCACGGCGGUCAGAGACACUUACAAGGUGAAGAAAAACUGGAUGGGCGAUCCGUGUGCGCCAAAGAAGUAUGCAUGGGAUGGAUUGAGGUGCAAAUAUUUCGAGUCUAGCCCGCCAAGUGUCACAGGCUUGAAUCUAUCUUCGAGUGGUUUGAGUGGCAACGUGUCAUUUUCUUUUGCCAAUCUCAAAGGUUUACAGUACUUGGAUUUGUCAAGCAAUAAUCUGACUGGCUCAAUCCCUGAGAUCCUAUCACAAUUGUCAUUGCUCACGCUUCUAGACUUCACAGGCAAUCAACUCAGUGGAUCAAUUCCUUCCGAGCUUCUGAAAAGAACUCGAGAUGACUCCCUCAUAAUCAAAUAUGAUAACAACCCGAACCUCUGCACUAACAGAGAUUCUUGUCAGCCUGCACAAAAGAAUAGCAGGUCUAUGGUUGCCGUCUAUGUUGUUGGGACGGUAGUUGCAGUGUUGCUGAUUGUGCUUCUGUUGGUGCUACUCCUUUUCCUGCGCAGGCGGAUGCAUGGUACAACUAGCAACAUCAUCACGAUGGGGAACAAGGCGAUUAUCGCACCGUCACAUGCUCAGAGCAGCAGUGGGCACAGCUCGCUGAGGCUCGAUAAUCGCCGCUUCACGUACAAUGAACUGGAAACCAUAACGAACAGCUUCCAGAGAGUGAUUGGCCGAGGAGGGUUUGGCAAAGUCUACCAUGGCUUCUUGCAGGACGGGACCCAAGUAGCUGUCAAACUGCGCUCUGAAUCUUCAGAUCAAGGUGUACAAGAAUUCCUGGCGGAGGCUCAGACCUUGGCUAAGAUUCAUCACAAGAAUCUUGUGUCCUUGAUUGGCUACUGCAAGGAGAGGGAGUACAUGGCUCUUGUAUAUGAGUACAUGCCUGAAGGAGCUCUACACCAACAUCUUGGAGGGAGCACGAACAAUGGAAAAACUUUAACCUGGAGGCAGAGACUUCGCAUUGCAUUGGAAUCCGCACAAGGGCUUGAGUACCUUCACAAAGGAUGCAAUCCACCACUCAUUCAUAGGGAUGUGAAAACGUCUAACAUUCUAUUGAAUGCAAACCUGGAGGCCAAGAUAGCUGAUUUUGGCUUGCUCAAGGCUUUCAAUCGUGGCAAUGAUACCCAUGUGUCUACUGCUAGAGUGGUCGGCACAUAUGGUUACCUUGCCCCCGAGUACCUUGCAACAUUUCAGCUGACCAACAAGAGUGAUGUGUUUAGCUUCGGCGUAGUGCUGCUAGAGAUAGUCACUGGGCAACCUCACAUCCUCAAUGGCCCGGAGCCAACGAGCAUCGUCCAAUGGGUGCGGCAGCGCCUAGCCCAUGGCAAUAUCGAAGCUGUAGUGGACUCACGCAUGCGUGGUGAUCACGACAUCAAUAGUGUGUGGAAAGUCGCGGACACCGCACUCAAGUGCACCACGCAGGCACCUGAGCAGCGUCCCACAAUGACUGAUUUGGUGGCGCAGUUGCAGGAGUGCCUAGAGCUUGAGGUUGCACGUGGUUACACAAAUGCUGGCUUUUACACGACUCGGAAUGGGGAUGACAUGUCAACUAAUGUGAGCCAGAGAACAUUCGAGAUAGAUCAUUUGGGCAGAGUGCCAACAAUGUCUACGGGUCCAGCUCUCAGGUGA
rnacentral:rRNA from 1 species